AUGUACCACACACAUUUCUUUUAUACCUCAUGUUCCAUACUAUUCACUCUAACAAUUCCGAUGUGGGACUUAUCAUCACAUACUGCACACUAUUAUACCUGCAUUACAUCGUACUUUGGCAAGCUGUACGUAUCUAUCUACAUGCUCACAUGCGAGGAAUUUUACACUAAUUGUCACCUCCAUUAG